AGUGAACGCUGGCGGUAGGCCUAACACAUGCAAGUCGAACGGCAGCACAGUAAGAGCUUGCUCUUACGGGUGGCGAGUGGCGGACGGGUGAGGAAUACAUCGGAAUCUACUUUUUCGUGGGGGAUAACGUAGGGAAACUUACGCUAAUACCGCAUACGACCUACGGGUGAAAGCAGGGGAUCUUCGGACCUUGCGCGAUUGAAUGAGCCGAUGUCGGAUUAGCUAGUUGGCGGGGUAAAGGCCCACCAAGGCGACGAUCCGUAGCUGGUCUGAGAGGAUGAUCAGCCACACUGGAACUGAGACACGGUCCAGACUCCUACGGGAGGCAGCAGUGUGGAAUAUUGGGCAAUAGGCGCAAGCCUGUUCCAGCCAUACCGCGUGGGUGAAGAAGGCCUUCGGGUUUUAAAGCCCUUUUGUUGGGGAAGAAAAGCAGCAGGUUAAUACCCCGCUGUUCUGACGGUACCCAAAGAAUAAGCACCGGCUAACUUCGUG
rnacentral:rRNA from 1 species